ensembl:lncRNA
AUAGGUCACUCCAGCCUGUGUGGGUUUAUCACGAUUCAGUGUUAAUUUCUGGCCAACUGGAAAGCGAAGUACUCCAGGUAGACAGAACCAGCAACCCCACCUCCAUGCCUGACCCUGUCUUUGAACUGCUCCCAGGAGCCACUGUCUGCAAGAGGGACCCUGAGGCCCAUCACAGGCUUCAGCUCUCCCACUCCUGGGGAAUGAAUGCACCUGUCCACUACACUGUCCCUACAUUCCCCCGCGUGACCUGCUCGGACUGCAUGGGGACCAAGAGUGCCGUCCUCACCCUUAACUCUGGGCUCAGCCCUGUCACUUCUUGGGACUUCAGCCAACAGGAUGCAGCAAGAGGCUGAAAAGGUGCCUGCACAGAAUGAACUACAGGACAUGGAAUGUGGAAGAUGAGCCUUUUGCAAAGAACAGUGCAGCUCACCCUGGAGGCAUCUUUCAGCCACCUGAGGCUCCUCCCGUGACAGCGAUGGCAAACUCUUGCACAACCAUCUCACACUUACCAGACACUGUUCUAGCACUUUCUGUAGGAACCCACUGAUCUAAUCCUCACAUCAACCCCAGGAAGUAGCUUCCACUAUCCGUCCCAUUUUACAGAAAAGGAGUCUGAGGGAGAGAUGCACAUUAGGAAACACACAAGACACAUGGUGCGUAAAUGUUACCGUCUGUAGGAAGAAUGCUGCCAGAACAUCUGUUAGUUCCCCGCAGGUAUCUCCUUCCGACCUGUGGAAGCCACCAUUUCUCACUUUCUCACUUUCACACCUCAUAAUCCUUCUGGCCUUUACUCUAAGGAAAUAGUAGGUUUUUAAGACUUUGGUACCAAAUAAUCAGUGUUUCUCCUAGGCAAAUGGCAGGUUUCUAUCAGCCUAAAUUUGCAACUGAUUAGGUUCUCACUAGAAAAUCUGAAGCCAGAUAUCUAGUCCAUUUGCAGCAAAUGCCCCAAAUCUUUACACUAGUCAUGUCUAUCCUCACUCCUGGAUCUAUUAUCCUCCAGCCUCUAUAAUAUGUUUUCUUUUUUAUGUUUAAUUUUAAUGUAUACAGUGGUGGAUUUUAUAUAUCUUUGAAAGCUUCCCUAAAUCCUUCUUGAAACACAGGGAGAUAUAAAUAAAUAAACAGACUCAAGCAAGCCUAAGAAAAACAAUAUCAAUAUAAAAACAAAGCAAAGCAUGCCUAUAACUUCCACAGGAUACAUUUUCUUGGUACACAUUUGUGUUUGUUUGCUUUUAACACCAUGUUCUGUUAAUUCCAAUUGUUAUAAGUGGCGUGUAUUCUAGACUUGAGCAAUAAAUGG